GGCUCAGGAUGAACGCUAGCGGCAGGCUUAACACAUGCAAGUCGAGGGGCAUCGGGAGUAGCAAUACUUGCCGGCGACCGGCGCAAGGGUGCGUAACGCGUGAGCAACAUGCCCGUAUCAGGGGGAUAAUCCAUGGAAACGUGGUCUAAUACCCCAUAGUAAUUAUGUAAGGCAUCUUAUAUAAUUUAAAGCUUUGGUGGAUACGGAUUGGCUCGCGUGACAUUAGCUAGAUGGUAAGGUAACGGCUUACCAUGGCUACGAUGUCUAGGGGUUCUGAGAGGAAGGUCCCCCACACUGGAACUGAGACACGGUCCAGACUCCUACGGGAGGCAGCAGUGAGGAAUAUUGGACAAUGGAUGGAAAUCUGAUCCAGCCAUGCCGCGUGCAGGAAAGACGGCCCUAUGGGUUGUAAACUGCUUUUGUAUGGGAGCAAUAAGGGCUACGCGUAGUCCGAUGAGAGUACCAUACGAAUAAGCACCGGCUAACUCCGUGCCAGCAGCAGC
rnacentral:rRNA from 1 species